rnacentral:lncRNA from 1 species
GAAACAAAGAAAUAUUUACCUGAGACUCUUCUAACAAGCAGUCUCAGCCAGUCACAGGAGCCAAACUUCAGUCAACCACAGGCAGUCAAAUGUUCAAACCAGGUCAAAUAAGCCUUCUGGGGCUGAUUUGGUCGCAGGCAGCAGAGCAGUUGAAGAAGCAAAUUAGUAAAUGGUAGCAGAACAGAAUCUGUUCCAAGCACACAUGAUCCCAGGAAUGGAUGGAGAGAGAUGUCAGUCAUGGGACUUUCCACAGAGAAGGUGGGAGCAGAGACACAGCCACAUUGUACUGUGAGGUUGGUGAAGGUCUCAGAAAAGGAUUAAGCAAAUGACAACAAAGAUAAUACCUUCCAUUUAUCACUCUAAUUACAUACAGCCCCUUCUGCAUUGUCUUUGGUUUGU